UUUUUCUCGCCGUUUUGAAUCUGACAUAAGACGAUCGUAAUGGCGCCCGCGCCGGUGAGUUCAGGGGUUUACCGUCAUCCGUCAGAACGGCGUUGCAGGCCUCGCACCAGCAGCAGAAAUCGAGCUACACCUCGUCGCUGCUCGGCGUUUCUCGCUCGUCGGCCAUCCUUUUCCUCGUUCCCUCGUUCCCUAGUUCCCUCUUUUCGCCCCGAAGUUCCCCCUCGGUUUCUCCUCUCUGCUCCCCUUGCCCGUGCAAACCUUCGCUCCGUCGUCGGCUGGGUGUGGUCUGUUCGUCGGUGGUGGUUCGGUGGUGUGUUUUUGACGGUUCAUAGAGAUAUCAAGAAAAGUAUGGUGCUCUGUACCGCGGUUUUGUACAAAAAUUUUUAUUAUAGAAUUAUGUAAUAAUAGUUGAAAGAGAAAUAAUUAACCGAAUAAAUGAAGAAAUAAAAAAUAGUUAAGAAGACAGUUGACUUGGUAAAGUGGAAUAAUAAAAUUAUCGUGGCAGCGUGUAGUAGGGAGAGAAUAAAAAGAUCGUUGGUGUUCAUAUUUUUUUAUACAUCGUAAGAUUUUCGAAAGAAAUAUACACCGUAAAGUUUUCCCGACAAAAUGCCGAAUAAUUGCAGAUGACGUUCUGACACUUCGUUACUUAGA
rnacentral:misc_RNA from 1 species